CCUACGGGAGGCAGCAGUGGGGAAUAUUGCACAAUGGGCGGAAGCCUGAUGCAGCGACGCCGCGUGAGGGAUGAAGGCCUUCGGGUUGUAAACCUCUUUCAGCAGGGACGAAGCGUGAGUGACGGUACCUGCAGAAGAAGCACCGGCUAACUACGUGCCAGCAGCCGCGGUAAUACGUAGGGUGCGAGCGUUGUCCGGAAUUACUGGGCGUAAAGAGUUCGUAGGCGGUUUGUCGCGUCGUUUGUGAAAACCCGGGGCUCAACUUCGGGCUUGCAGGCGAUACGGGCAGACUUGAGUGUUUCAGGGGAGACUGGAAUUCCUGGUGUAGCGGUGAAAUGCGCAGAUAUCAGGAGGAACACCGGUGGCGAAGGCGGGUCUCUGGGAAACAACUGACGCUGAGGAACGAAAGCGUGGGUAGCAAACA
rnacentral:rRNA from 1 species